GGCAGUAGCGCGGUGGUCCCACCUGACCCCAUGCCGAACUCAGAAGUGAAACGCCGUAGCGCCGAUGGUAGUGUGGGGUCUCCCCAUGCGAGAGUAGGGAACUGCCAGACA
rnacentral:rRNA from 1 species